CUUGUAUUAAUUAAUAUGGUAUGAGAAAAUUUUGCCGUCGUCAAGGUUCAAGGCGGAGAUUUUGACGGAAGGAUGUGCCCCGCAGACAGAAAGGCGCAGGCCUUACGGUGGUAUAGCGUCACAAAACGGAGAGCUAGGCUUCCAGAAAUCUUAUCUCCCUCUUGUUUCUUACUGACGAACGUCCUAUCAGAGGCCUGGGCUUCUAUAAAUCUUAACUCCCUCUUAUUUCUUACUAAAAAUCGUCAUAUCUUUCAUCGGGUCAAAAAGAUGAUUCACAGUCUCGUAUGGGCGGCAAGAAAAGGAAUUGCAAGUUUCUUUCUCUAACUAAUU
rnacentral:lncRNA from 1 species